GUGGCAGUCUGAAGUAUGAAAGCUAAUGCUUCAGUGGUGCAUUGAGGCUGAGUUGAGAUCUGCAUUGAAAAGCUUGAAUGUUUAAGAUUGUGUUAGCCAUCUGAAGGAAAGAAUUCUCCAUUCAAAAGACAGCAGCAAGUUAAGAUCCUGCCCAACUCCUUCAUCAGCAGGUAGGCUCCAGCACUCCAAGGUGUUCCUCCAGGUGCAGCCUAAGGUUAAUUGGCUUAAUUUACCCCUUCAAGCCUUGCGUGGGGGUGAACACACCAUCACAGAUGUCCAAAGCCUUGGCUUGUGUUUCUCUUCUGCCUAUAACUGUUGUUUUGUUUUGUUUCUAAUGGGCUCACACAAUAAGCAAUUUCUAUUCAUCUCUCAAGGAAGAUGUACUGGACUCAGCAUUAGAUAAUAGUCUUAAAUAAAUUGAAAGAGAUGGACAGUCUCAGGAAGCAGAGUUGUGCCUAAUGAUAAUAGCUCAUCUAGACCAACUCAUUAUCUUGCCUGUUAGCAGAUACUGAAGAGGGGAAGAGACUUUAAAGUGGCCUGGCUGGAGGAGUAAGACACAGGAAAAGGCAGACCACCACAGUGCCAGAGCAACUGUCAUCAGGAAGUACCAGACAGGGAGAGAGCUGCUACUACAUGCCCAGUCACCAGAAAGUGCCAACAGUGAGUCAACCCCUUCAUAAUGGACGUAGGUCGUGGUGCAAUGAAGUUUGAGAAUUCCUGGUAUAGAGAAACCUGAUGCACAAAUGGUGGCCAGACUAUAUCAUGAAUCAGAGAGAAUACAAAUGGUAGGAGAGAUGAAGAGAUAGUCUGAGGCAAGUCAACAGAAACUUUUAUAAACAGAGAGGGCAAUUCUGAAUACACCCCGCAGCAGAGUUCUCUUGCAUUUUGACAAUCAUGUAUAAACAUUCCAACAGUCCUGAUUAUACAUAGCUCAUAGAAUGAACCAUUAUAUAUCUUCCCUGCUACUACUUUUCUUGUCUGGAACCAUAUUUCCUGCUUUCAUUUUUCCCAUAUACCACUUUAAAAAUGUGUUAUAAAACAGACAAAAGUUUAUUAUGGUAUGCUA